CCCGGAGGAGCUGACUUUCGCCAGCGCCCAGGCGGAAGCGAGAGAAGAGGAGCGGCGAGUGCGGGAGACCGUGCGCAGGGAUAAAACGCUCCUGAAGGAGAAGAGGAAGCGACGCGAGGAGCUGUUCAUCGAACAGAAGAAAAGAAAACUCCUUCCAGACACUAUUUUGGAGAAGUUAACCACAGCUUCACAGACUAACAUCAAGAAAUCGCCAGGAAAGGUGAAAGAAGGUAUGACUAUUCUAAUUUAACUAACUUCUCAUGUAAGUGUCAAGUGCACUUGCAGAUGUUUCCAGUCAAAUAUGAAUGGCCCUUAGAAAGCCAGCAUGGGCCUGGCCAAGGUUAGCUGGGGCCUAUUCCCUGUAUUUCAUACAAAUAAAAACUGCAUCCACAUUGGUGUGUAGUGGAUGCUUAAAGUGAACUCCAGUAAAUUUCCUGAUUUAUUUUUACGUGAAUGCUAAUUAGAAAAUGUAACUCUAUUUUUUAGUUAAUUUGCAAAAGAAAAAUGAAGACUGUGAAAAAGGAAAUGACUCCAAGAAAGUUAAAGUACAAAAAGUACAGUCUGUCAGGUAAUGAGUCUUUUGUUUCAUUUGGGAUGUAAAGGAGACCUUUAAGAGAGUUAAAGUAUUGGCUAACAUGGGAAAAUA
rnacentral:lncRNA from 10 species